GACCCCGUGGUACAAUGGUAGCACAUCUGACUCUAGAUCAGAAGGUUACAUGUUCAAAUCACAUCAGAGUCA
rnacentral:tRNA from 1 species